rnacentral:pre_miRNA from 1 species
AGCAUUCUGAAUCUGUGCCAAAAUUUUGUCAGACACUAAACCGUCAGGACUGGUGAAACUUUCAAGAUAAGUGAAGCA